UGUUAUGACUCCGUUGUCAUAUUUUGUAAACUGUUUGGAGCUACCACCCAGGCCAGAUAAAUUGAACCAUUAGCACGGCAAGUCAAAAAGUUUUCCGCUGGAUUUUUAUUUCAUUUUUUCUUUUUGCGUUGCCAUUGUUAUUUACCAGAAAAGAAAUCACCGCAGGGUCGCAAUAAACGAGACAGCAGACGAUGAAAAAAUCAACUCGUCACCUGUCUGCCAGACGCGGUGGUCCUUGCUCCGUGGCUCCUGGCCUAUAGUCCUUGUUUCGUCCGGCUGUCAUCAAAGACAAACAUUUAUGCAAUUUGAGUUUUCAGAGAAAUGUUGCCUUGGGUGACGGAGCACCACCCAUAGUAUGAAGGGAGCUGAAAAUUGUUCUGGCUUUAUGUGCGGGCGUUUCUCAACUUUAAUUGUUUUCGUUGUUGGAUGAAAAACUAAAUUUUCAUAUUAUAAUUUUCGGCAGACAAAAGUCAAACGGGACAAAAUGGCAGCUCAUAAAAAGUUUUAUCGUUUUAAAGUUCUCUGAGCAAUUACACUGCAAAAGUUAAUUAAACACCGCAAGCAAAUAGACGGCGGAACGGGAGUUGUAAGUCUCUUUAUAUAUAUAUAUAAUUUUAUUUGUGCAACGGAGCGUGCCACAGGAAUAUUCUUCCUUUGGCUUCCAACUAGUAGUGCAUGCGUGCAAAUGGCUCUGAGAUACAAAUCAUUACAUUGUGUGAGACCCAGUUAAGUUGAAAUUGCCAAGUACAGUGGAGCUAGGAAAAGAUUUAAUUAGUUUUCUAUGAAAAAUUAUUAUAAUUUUUGGUCUAAAUGGGCUAAAAAUACGAAGUCUCCUUUGGUUCUUAAGUUUUAAUAUAAAUAAAGACUAGAAAUAGCCUCCUUAAGCCCUCAAAACUAAUCAUUGAGUAAAAGAAUCUCAAGUGCCAUGUUCAAGAUAACUAUUUCCACUUACAUUCUAAUAAUAACUAAUUCAUCCACUGUUCUAAAGUUGGCCAUCUCCCUAAGCAUGCAUAUGAGCCAUAAAAGUAACCCAAAAGUGUAUAUCUGGAAAUUUCGCAUAACAAGGCACUUAUUAAAAAGCAUUAUUAACUUGAUAAAAAUAAAUUACAUGCCAAAAAAGUGCCAUCUAUUAACAAUAAUGUUUGCUGACCUCCAUGGAGAGUCUUCCCAACUAACUGCUUGCCGGCCCCCCAAACUAUCGCAUAAAUAAAUGGCCACUGACGUUGGCACUUGCCAAGGAAAAACCGCACAUUUGGUAAAGUUCUGGUCCUGUUUCUGGCCGAGGUCCUGGUCCUGGUCCCAGGACCUGGUCUGGUCUAGUCCCUCCAGGUUGUGACCCCCGCCUUGACGAAGCGGAAAUGCAAAAGCUUGUACGAUUUAAUCUAAUCUGCGUCCAAUGAAAUAAAUUCAUCCCAUUUUCACAGGAAUGGGAUACGGUGAGUCCGGAGCAGAAAACAACCCAGUUAUUGUUCUUGUUCUGGGCCCUUUGUGUGAGAUUUCAAAGCAAAAAGGGACACACAACAAUACACACAAUGUAAACGAAAAUUGAAAACGAAGGCGGAAACAGCAGGCAGCUGUUAGAGUUCUGUUCUCUGGCCAUGUUCAAAGUUCAAGUUUCCUGGAUCUGGACCUUCCAGGACUCGUUCUAGGAGGAGGGAAAAAAAAGUGUUGGCGUUUAAUUAUAAAUUUACACGUUCAGCCACUGCAAAAGAGCAAGUCAUGCUAAAAAGGAACGAGCCAUUCCAGGAACCCUAAAAUAAUUUGUAGUCUUCAUGGUAAUGGCUUCUAGAUGGGGGUAGAUUUUGGGGGAUUUGGGUUUUCCCAAAAAAUUCCCUCGAAAAAGUUAUA